GAUUGAUGGUGCUUGCACCUGAUUGACGUUGGAUCACCAGUGAGUGGCGGACGGGUGAGUAACACGUAGGUAACCUGCCCCGGAGCGGGGGAUAACAUUUGGAAACAGAUGCUAAUACCGCAUAACAACAAAAGCCACAUGGCUUUUGUUUGAAAGAUGGCUUUGGCUAUCACUCUGGGAUGGACCUGCGGUGCAUUAGCUAGUUGGUAAGGUAACGGCUUACCAAGGCGAUGAUGCAUAGCCGAGUUGAGAGACUGAUCGGCCACAAUGGAACUGAGACACGGUCCAUACUCCUACGGGAGGCAGCAGUAGGGAAUCUUCCACAAUGGGCGCAAGCCUGAUGGAGCAACACCGCGUGAGUGAAGAAGGGUUUCGGCUCGUAAAGCUCUGUUGUUGGAGAAGAACGUGCGUGAGAGUAACUGUUCAUGCAGUGACGGUAUCCAACCAGAAAGUCACGGCUAACUACGUGCCAGCAGCCGCGGUAAUACGUAGGUGGCAAGCGUUAUCCGGAUUUAUUGGGCGUAAAGCGAGCGCAGGCGGUUACUUAGGUCUGAUGUGAAAGCCUUCGGCUUAACCGAAGAAGUGCAUCGGAAACCGGGCGACUUGAGUGCAGAAGAGGACAGUGGAACUCCAUGUGUAGCGGUGGAAUGCGUAGAUAUAUGGAAGAACACCAGUGGCGAAGGCGGCUGUCUGGUCUGCAACUGAC
rnacentral:rRNA from 1 species